GAUGAACGCUAGCUACAGGCUUAACACAUGCAAGUCGAGGGGAAACGACAUCGAAAGCUUGCUUUUGAUGGGCGUCGACCGGCGCACGGGUGAGUAACGCGUAUCCAACCUGCCCAUCACUUGGGGAUAACCUUGCGAAAGUAAGACUAAUACCCAAUGAUAUCUCUAGAAGACAUCUGAAAGAGAUUAAAGAUUUAUCGGUGAUGGAUGGGGAUGCGUCUGAUUAGCUUGUUGGCGGGGUAACGGCCCACCAAGGCAACGAUCAGUAGGGGUUCUGAGAGGAAGGUCCCCCACAUUGGAACUGAGACACGGUCCAAACUCCUACGGGAGGCAGCAGUGAGGAAUAUUGGUCAAUGGGCGAGAGCCUGAACCAGCCAAGUAGCGUGCAGGAAGACGGCCCUAUGGGUUGUAAACUGCUUUUAUAAGGGAAUAAAGUGAGAGUCGUGACUCUUUUUGUAUGUACCUUAUGGAUAAGGACCGGCUAAUUCCGUG
rnacentral:rRNA from 1 species